rnacentral:rRNA from 1 species
UACAGAGGUCCCGAGCGUUGCUCGGAAUGACUGGGCGUAAAGGGCGCGUAGGCGGUUUAGACAGUCAGAUGUGAAAUUCCCGGGCUUAACCUGGGGGCUGCAUUUGAUACGUCUAGGCUUGAGUGAGGAAGAGGGUUGUGGAAUUCCCAGUGUAGAGGUGAAAUUCGUAGAUAUUGGGAAGAACACCGGUGGCGAAGGCGGCAACCUGGUCCUUUACUGACGCUGAGGCGCGAAAGCGAGGGGAGCAAACAGG